AACCUAGCACACCUGCGGUGUGUACCUGCGGAGGGAUCAUUACAAGUGACCCCGGUCUAACCACCGGGAUGUUCAUAACCCUUUGUUGUCCGACUCUGUUGCCUCCGGGGCGACCCUGCCUUCGGGCGGGGGCUCCGGGUGGACACUUCAAACUCUUGCGUAACUUUGCAGUCUGAGUAAACUUAAUUAAUAAAUUAAAACUUUUAGCAACGGAUCU
rnacentral:misc_RNA from 1 species